rnacentral:rRNA from 1 species
CAUCUUUAGUUGCCAGCAGGUUAAGCUGGGCACUCUAGAGAAACUGCCCGUGAUAAGCGGGAGGAAGGUGUGGAUGACGUCAAGUCCUCAUGGCCCUUACGGGUUGGGCUACGCACGUGCUACAAUGGCAGUGACAAUGGGUUAACCCCAAAAAGCUGUCUCAGUUCGGAUUGGGGUCUGCAACUCGACCCCAUGAAGUCGGAAUCGCUAGUAAUCGCGUAACAGCAUGACGCGGUGAAUACGUUC